rnacentral:sRNA from 1 species
GCAGAAAGGGGUGGUUGGGGGUGGUUUGGGCCCAGGAACACUGCCAUCAUCCUGCUUUGCCCAUUUUGGAUUUUUGUAAGCCGAGUUAAUUUACCAACCCUCAUGUUCAAUCGGUCGUCGGGUUUUGUCGCUUCAUUCUACAUAUGCCCCAAUUCCAUGAUGCACAGGCAUGCUUUGUCGCCUGCCUUUUUGCAACUGCCUACUCCGUAGUCAUAUAGAUUCUUCGCAUGCACAGCUCAUUUGAAAGAACACUGAAACACCCGAUUCGCCCACAAUAACCACGCUGCUGAUUUUAUUCGCUGCUUGGCUAUUUUAACUACUACUCUAGACAUCUUUUGCCCGACUUCAGUUUCAAUUUCGGAGCCAAGACAUAUUGCGAGGCCACGAGCCCAUUUCUCAAACGAUAAG